rnacentral:rRNA from 1 species
AGCGAACGCUGGCGGCAGGCCUAACACAUGCAAGUCGAACGAACUCUUCGGAGUUAGUGGCGGACGGGUGAGUAACACGUGGGAACGUGCCUUUUGGUUCGGAAUAACUCAGGGAAACUUGUGCUAAUACCGAAUGUGCCCUUCGGGGGAAAGAUUUAUCGCCAUUAGAGCGGCCCGCGUCUGAUUAGCUAGUUGGUGAGGUAAAAGCUCACCAAGGCGACGAUCAGUAGCUGGUCUGAGAGGAUGACCAGCCACACUGGGACUGAGACACGGCCCAGACUCCUACGGGAGGCAGCAGUGGGGAAUCUUGCGCAAUGGGCGAAAGCCUGACGCAGCCAUGCCGCGUGAAUGAUGAAGGUCUUAGGAUUGUAAAAUUCUUUCACCGGGGACGAUAAUGACGGUACCCGGAGAAGAAGUCCCGGCUAACUUCGUGCCAGCAGCCGCCGCAG